GCAGUAGCCGCGGGAAUACGGAGGGUGCAAGCGUUAAUCGGAAUUACUGGGCGUAAAGCGCACGCAGGCGGUCUGACAAGUCAGAUGUGAAAUCCCCGGGCUUAACCUGGGAACUGCAUUUGAAACUGUCAGGCUGGAGUCUUGUAGAGGGGGGUAGAAUUCCAGGUGUAGCGGUGAAAUGCGUAGAGAUCUGGAGGAAUACCGGUGGCGAAGGCGGCCCCCUGGACAAAGACUGACGCUCAGGUGCGAAAGCGUGGGGAGCAAACAGGAUUAGAUACCCGCGUAGUCCCUGUCUCUUAUAC
rnacentral:rRNA from 1 species